AUUGAACGCUGGCGGCAGGCCUAACACAUGCAAGUCGAGCGGAUGAAGGGAGCUUGCUCCUGGAUUCAGCGGCGGACGGGUGAGUAAUGCCUAGGAAUCUGCCUGGUAGUGGGGGAUAACGUCCGGAAACGGGCGCUAAUACCGCAUACGUCCUGAGGGAGAAAGUGGGGGAUCUUCGGACCUCACGCUAUCAGAUGAGCCUAGGUCGGAUUAGCUAGUUGGUGGGGUAAAGGCCUACCAAGGCGACGAUCCGUAACUGGUCUGAGAGGAUGAUCAGUCACACUGGAACUGAGACACGGUCCAGACUCCUACGGGAGGCAGCAGUGGGGAAUAUUGGACAAUGGGCGAAAACCUGAUCCAGCCAUGCCGCGUGUGUGAAGAAGGUCUUCGGAUUGUAAAGCACUUUAAGUUGGGAGGAAGGGCAGUAAGUUAACACCUUGCUGUUUUGACGUUACCAACAGAAUAAGCACCGGCUAACUUCGUG
rnacentral:rRNA from 1 species